rnacentral:rRNA from 1 species
CCUACGGGAGGCAGCAGUGGGGAAUUUUGGACAAUGGGCGAAAGCCUGAUCCAGCCAUGCCGCGUGAGUGAAGAAGGCCUUCGGGUUGUAAAGCUCUUUUAGUCGGAAGGAAAGAGUUGCAAUGAAUAAUUAUGAUUUAUGACGGUACCGACAGAAAAAGCACCGGCUAACUACGUGCCAGCAGCCGCGGUAAUACGUAGGGUGCGAGCGUUAAUCGGAAUUACUGGGCGUAAAGGGUGCGCAGGCGGUCUUGCAAGUCAGAUGUGAAAGCCCCGGGCAUAACCUGGGAAUUGCGUUUGAAACUACAAGGCUAGAGUGCAGCAGAGGGGAGUGGAAUUCCAUGUGUAGCAGUGAAAUGCGUAGAGAUGUGGAAGAACACCGAUGGCGAAGGCAGCUCCCUGGGUUGACACUGACGCUCAUGCACGAAAGCGUGGGGAGCAAACAGGAUUAGAUACCCUGGUAGCCCACGCCCUAAACGAUGUCAACUAGUUGUCGGAUCUAAUUAAGGAUUUGGUAACGUAGCUAACGCGUGAAGUUGACCGCCUGGGGAGUACGGUCGCAAGAUUAAAACUCAAAGGAA